rnacentral:rRNA from 1 species
AUUGAACGCUGGCGGCAGGCUUAACACAUGCAAGUCGAACGAGUGGCGGACGGGUGAGUAAUGUCUGGGAAACUGCCCGAUGGAGGGGGAUAACUACUGGAAACGGUAGCUAAUACCGCAUACCAUCGGAUGUGCCCAGAUGGGAUUAGCUAGUAGGUGGGGUAACGGCUCACCUCGGCGACGAUCCCUAGCUGGUCUGAGAGGAUGACCAGCCAAUCUGGAACUGAGACACGGUCCAGACUCCGACGGGAGGCAGCCUUGGGGAAUAUUCCACAAUGGGCGCAAGCCUGAUGCAGCCAUGCCGCGUGUAUGAAGAAGGCCUGCGGGUUGUAAAGUACUUUCAGCGAGGAGGCGUUACUCGCAGAAGAAGCACCGGCUAACUCCGUGCCAGCAGCCGCGGUAAUAC